GUCAUUAAGGCCCCUCAGAAUGCGUCAUGGUCGAAAACCCGCCCCUUCCUUUCGUUGCUACGGACUACAGAGUGUGACGUCGGGCGAUCGAGACUGUGUGUGAGUGUGAUGUGCUGCUUACUCUCAGUGUGGCGUGCCGUCAGGGCUUCCAACUGUGUAGCAUGGUAGUUUAACGUAGCUCCGGUCGGAGCACCAGCUGUUGCCGUCACAACUAUGAUUUUCGGAUGUUCCAUCGUGAGUAUCAUGUCAUCGGAUCAUGGGUCCUCGGUUUUGCAUGCGUUAAGGCGGGCUGAGUGAGAUGUGGUCAUAUCGGUAUAGCGCCUCCCCCUCAUUCGUGGAGCCACGUUGCUGCUUGGUUUUGCUGUUUGGCUCUGCUGCUCUGCUGCUUUGUUGCUGCUUGAUUCUGCUUUGGGGCUGAUUGACCGCUUGUUUGAAUUUGCUGCUUCAGUUUGUUUUGCCUUUUUUCCUGUUUUAUUUGUGCUUUUGAUUUUGUUCUGUUCUUUUUGUGUUGGUUACUGUCAUUAAGAUCAGUUUUCUUUAAUUCAACUGUGUUGUAACAGUCUCAGUUAUGUUGAUACUGCUAUGUGGUACUAGUGGUUUUGGUCAGUCUUGGUAAACUUGCUACCUGUGAUCAGUUUGAGCUCAAGGUUAUCUGUUUUCAUGACAGUAUGUUUGUCUUUGUUUUAUUCUUUUGUUUGUCUGCUUUGAACGUAUUGUAAU